rnacentral:tRNA from 1 species
GUCCCCAUCGUCUAGCCUGGUCUAGGACAUCGCCCUUUCACGGCGGCAACGGGGGUUCGAAUCCCCCUGGGGACG